UACGGGGGGGGCGAGCGUUGUCCGGAAUCAUUGGGCGUAAAGAGCGUGUAGGCGGUCCGGUAAGUCCGCUGUGAAAGUCGGGGGCUCAACCCUCGAAUGCCGGUGGAUACUGUCGGGCUAGAGUGCGGAAGAGGCGAGUGGAAUUCCUGGUGUAGCGGUGAAAUGCGCAGAUAUCAGGAGGAACACCUAUUGCGAAGGCAGCUCGCUGGGACGUUACUGACGCUGAGACGCGAAAGCGUGGGGAGCAAACAGG
rnacentral:rRNA from 1 species